rnacentral:rRNA from 1 species
AGCAGUCGCCGCGGGAAUACGUAGGUGGCAAGCGUUGUCCGGAAUUAUUGGGCGUAAAGGGCUCGCAGGCGGUUUCUUAAGUCUGAUGUGAAAGCCCCCGGCUCAACCGGGGAGGGUCAUUGGAAACUGGGAAACUUGGGUGCAGAAGAGGAGAGUGGAAUUCCACGUGUAGCGGUGAAGUGCGUAGAGAUGUGGAGGAACACCAGUGGCGAAGGCGACUCUCUGGUCUGUAACUGACGCUGAGGAGCGAAAGCGUGGGGAGCGAACAGGAUUAGAUACCCCGGUAGUCCCUGUCUCUUAUAC